GUGGGGAAUAUUGCGCAAUGGAGGCAACUCUGACGCAGCCAUGCCGCGUGCAGGAAGAAGGCGCUACGCGUUGUAAACUGCUUUUAACCGGGAAGAAACCCCAGGACGUGUCCUGGGUUGACGGUACCGGAGGAAUAAGCACCGGCUAACUUCGUGCCAGCAGCCGCGGUAAUACGAAGGGUGCAAGCGUUAUCCGGAUUCAUUGGGUUUAAAGGGUGCGUAGGCGGAGCGUUAAGUCAGUGGUGAAAUCCUGCAGCUUAACUGUAGACUUGCCAUUGAUACUGGCGCUCUUGAGUGCGCUUGAAGUGGGCGGAAUGUGCCGUGUAGCGGUGAAAUGCUUAGAUAUGGCACAGAACACCAAUUGCGAAGGCAGCUCACUAAGGCGAUACUGACGCUGAGGCACGAAAGCGUGGGGAUCGAACAGGAUUAGAAACCCCUGUAGUCC
rnacentral:rRNA from 1 species